rnacentral:rRNA from 1 species
ACGGAAGGCAGCAGUGGGGAAUAUUGCACAAUGGGGGAAACCCUGAUGCAGCAACGCCACGUGUGGGAAGACGCAUUUCGGUGUGUAAACCACUGUCGUGAGGGAAUAAGGCUACUUUUCGGAGUAGUUGAAUGUACCUCGAAAGGAAGCACCGGCAAACUUCGUGCCAGCAGCCGCGGUAAUACGAGGGGUGCAAGCGUUGUUCGGAGUCACUGGGCGUAAAGGGAGCGCAGGCGGAGAUGCAAGCAGUCUGUACAAUACCGGGGCCCAACCCCGGACCUGCAGACUGGACUGUUCCUCUUGGAUAGCUCAGGGGCUGGCGGAAUUCCUGGUGUAGCGGUGGAAUGCGUAGAGAUCAGGAAGAACACCGAUGGCGAAGGCAGCCAGCUGGGGGCUUAUCGACGCUCAUGCUCGAAAGUGCGGGUAGCAAACAGGAUUAGAUACCCUGGUA